rnacentral:rRNA from 1 species
AUGAUCGAGGUGGUGCUGAACGACAGGCUGGGGAAGAAGGUGCGGGUGAAGUGCAACGAGGACGACACCAUCGGCGACCUGAAGAAGCUCGUCGCGGCGCAGACGGGGACCAGGCCCGAGAAGAUCCGCAUCCAGAAGUGGUACACCAUCUACAAGGACCACAUCACCCUCGGCGACUACGAGAUCCACGACGGCAUGGGCCUCGAGCUCUACUACAACUAG